rnacentral:misc_RNA from 1 species
GAGAGGGGUCUCCGGACCCCGGGGGCUUCGGUCCCCAACUCUUCACCCUGUGUCUAUGUACCUUUGUUGCUUUGACGGGCCAUGGGCUCCGCCCCAUACCGUUCUCGGGCUUCGCUGCUCGGGGCGGCUCGUGCUCGUCGAAGGCCCAUCGAACUCCAUUUCAUUGUUGUCCGAGCGAAAUCACAAUAGUCAAAAACUUUCAACAACGGAUCUCUUGGUUCU